UACGAGAGCCUCGAGCGUUAUCCGGAAUUAUUGGGCGUAAAGGGUGCGUAGGUUGUUCUGUUAGUCUUUUGUUAAAUCCCCGAGCUUAACUUGGGAAUCGCGAAGGAAACGGCAGGACUUGAAAGUGUGAGAGGCGUACGGAACUCAUGGUGUAGGGGUGAAAUCCGUUGAUAUCAUGGGGAACACCAAAUGCGAAGGCAGUACGCUGGCGCAUAUUUGACACUGAAGCACGAAAGCGUGGGUAGCGAAU
rnacentral:rRNA from 1 species